ACCGCAUGGUCCGAGCUUGAAAGAUGGCUUCGGCUAUCACUUUUGGAUGGUCCCGCGGCGUAUUAGCUAGAUGGUGGGGUAACGGCUCACCAUGGCAAUGAUACGUAGCCGACCUGAGAGGGUAAUCGGCCACAUUGGGACUGAGACACGGCCCAAACUCCUACGGGAGGCAGCAGUAGGGAAUCUUCCACAAUGGACGAAAGUCUGAUGGAGCAACGCCGCGUGAGUGAAGAAGGGUUUCGGCUCGUAAAACUCUGUUGUUAAAGAAGAACAUAUCUGAGAGUAACUGUUCAGGUAUUGACGGUAUUUAACCAGAAAGCCACGGCUAACUACGUGCCAGCAGCCGCGGUAAUACGUAGGUGGCAAGCGUUGUCCGGAUUUAUUGGGCGUAAAGCGAGCGCAGGCGGUUUUUUAAGUCUGAUGUGAAAGCCUUCGGCUCAACCGAAGAAGUGCAUCGGAAACUGGGAAACUUGAGUGCAGAAGAGGACAGUGGAACUCCAUGUGUAGCGGUGAAAUGCGUAGAUAUAUGGAAGAACACCAGUGGCGAAGGCGGCUGUCUGGUCUGUAACUGACGCUGAGGCUCGAAAGUAUGGGUAGCAAACAGGAUUAGAUACCCUGGUAGUCCAUACCGUAAACGAUGAAUGCUAAGUGUUGGAGGGUUUCCGCCCUUCAGUGCUGCAGCUAACGCAUUAAGCAUUCCGCCGGGGGAGUACGGCCGCCAGGCUGAAACUCAAAGGAAUUGACGGGGGCCCGCACAAGCGGUGGAGCAGGUGGUUUAAUUUCGAAGCUACGCGAAGAACCUUUACCAGGUCUUG
rnacentral:rRNA from 2 species